rnacentral:rRNA from 1 species
UACGUAGGGUGCAAGCGUUGUCCGGAAUUAUUGGGCGUAAAGAGCGCGUAGGCGGUUUGUUGCGUCUGCUGUGAAAACCCGAGGCUCAACUUCGGGCCUGCAGUGGGUACGGGCAGACUAGAGUGCGGUAGGGGAGAUUGGAAUUCCUGGUGUAGCGGUGGAAUGCGCAGAUAUCAGGAGGAACACCAAUGGCGAAGGCAGAUCUCUGGGCCGUAACUGACGCUGAGGAGCGAAAGCAUGGGGAGCGAACAGG